GAAAGGACCAUAGCUCAGUGGUAGAGCAUCUGCUUUGCAGGCGCAAGGUCCUGGGUUCAAGUCCCGGCACUUUCA